CCAAGCUCCAAGCUCCUUUGCUGAUCAGCUACUGACUUCUGCAGAGCCAUUUAAUACCAAAGUAUCUUUCAUGAAAACUUCAAGUGGAUAUGGGAUACACAAUGUAAACACAGAUUGCAAAUAUAAAUACAAUUUAAUGACAAUAUAUGACUAUUUACUGAGGAAAAUAUUUUUUGACUAAUUUUUUUUUCUUUUCUUUUUUUUACAUUUCAGCAAAGGAGUAUGUUUUAGGGGUUUUGGACACUUUACAACUCACGCUCUCUAACUGUGAACUUCUAAAAGGCUAGUCUUCAAAUCCAACUGUGAACUGCCAGCCAAUGGUUGACCCUUUCAUUAGAACUUGCUAAACAGCUCCACCUGCAGGUCUUCUUGAUCAUAUGGCUCACACACAUUUGAGAUUCCGAUUCUUUAUGGGUUGUUAAAAGUCAAUCUCACUUAUGUGCCUCAAUCUGUGAUUUAUGAUCUAUGAUGUCUAUGAUGUUGCAAUGUGAAGCCUUUCAUUUGUUAACAAAGAAAAAUAGAGCUACACCUGCAGAUGUUUUUUUUUUUCCAUAAUUUCAAUGCGAUGCUGAUAUAGGAAAAAAUUAUGAAUUACGGCAUAUUUAAAAAAAAAAUCAAAAAAAAAUCAAAUGACUCCUAAACAAACAAUCUUUAAAGAUACAACAGAUUAGAUUGCCAAAAUAAUUUACAGAGAAUGUACACAUUCUGCUUUAUGUCUUUUUAAAGUGAAACUAUCCGAUAAACAUUACCCCUAUUUUUUUGAAUGCAUUAUGUAGAUAAUGCAAAAAAAAAUAAAUCUGACAAAAUUAACAAAAAAGAUGUAUGCUCUUAACAUUUCCCUUAAUACACUUUUUAGUGAGUUUAAAUACCAGCAAUUGCUAAUAGUCAUCCGGUGACUGCAAUUUACCACAAUUUGUGGAUACGCUUUUCAAAUGAUUUAACAUUUUUGUAUAAAAUUUUGUUUAAACUUUUGUAUAAACUUUUAGUUAUCUAAUAUAUUUUUUUUAAAAAUAAUUAAUAUUUUUGAGGGAAAAAUUAUUGUAAUAGUUUAUUAAAAAUAUUAAAUAAUUUGACACGAAUAUCCAAAAAUAUCAAAGGCAAGGUCAAACUUUUCUAAAACUCAAAUGUCAUUUUAACAGCCAUUUAUCUCCCCUUUAAAGGGGGGAGCAUGGUUUAACCUUAGUUUAGGACAUGGCUUUAACUCAUAAGGGACCAAAAUCACAUACUGUGCAAUUCACAACUCAUCACUCAUGUAGGAUGAAUGGAAUUGCUUUGUAUAUUAAUAGCAGCCACGGCUGCUAUCAGUUUAUACAUAUCCUAACACACAGUUCAGUGAACUGGGCUCUGCAUUCUCCUAUUAGACUUGUGUACGGAAAUACAUUUUGGCUUGGCUGAACCAUGUAUUCCGAAAAUAGAAAAAAACAUUUAUACCCAAAUGUCUGCUUAGUGUCGGUUCUGCUUGCCAUAAUUUCAUUACCAAGAUUCCAAUUUGGAAACCGAAUCAGAUUAACAAAAAAUGGCACAAAAAAUCACAUAGGAUGUAUCUAUUUUGCCGUACACCGAUAGGACCAUGUUCUUUCUAUUAUGAUUUACUGUUUUUUUUUUUCCCCUUUAUUGCUCAGCCCAAGUUGUGUGUAUGAUUGGACAAAACUGGUAAAACCAGCCUGGAACUCUCAUUUUGAAAUUUUGACAGGUGAUCUAAUUCACAGGAACCAUGGGUGGCUCUACAUACUACACCCCGAAAUGAAACUCUAACAGAUAUAUUUACAAAAUUCCGAAUUGUCCAGAUUUCAAAGAGAAUUCAAAGUGAAUUUCAAAUUUAAAGGAUUACUCUAACCUUUUUUAUUGUCAAUAUGUUAUUUUAAAAUUCCCUGUGGGGAACGAAUUGCUGGUCCAGCUCCCAAGGGAAAAAACUGUAAAAGAAAAAUAAAUAAAAAGAUAAUAUUUAUCUUCAGUCCAGCGCUAGACCAUGAUCUUCUGUGUCUUGACUGAUGUCACAUCGUAUCACUUCUUUCCUCUCAAAUUUCCACAUAGAGAAUAAUUUUAUUGGAUCAGUCCCUAACACUGCACAUACAGAUUCCUACCACUAUGACCACUUCUAAAAGCAGUAGUGAUCAUGGUGGUUGGAGUAACUCUUUAAGGUCAAAAUUGCUGAAUUUGGUUAAGAUAUUUUGGUCUACAAUUUGAGGAUUACUUUACAGGUAACCUCCAGCUCAAAACAACUUAAUUGAAAUGAAGUUGUUAUGGUGCCAGUUUUUUUUUUUUUUUUUUAAGAAUGGGAGGCUACUGAUUGGCUUAAAGCAGAAGCCGAUGCUCUUAGGGAAUCAGUGGCACCACUGGCCAUGCAAGUCCUAGAAUUCCGGUUUGAACAAUCUCAGAGAAGCAGAAAGACACGUGGAGAGCUACAUGCACUGGAGAGAAGACUUUUGGGUUUUUCCCCUAAAGGAAAGUUGGCCCCAGUUACGUCCUGGCACCAUAACAACUUAAUUGUGAUUAAGUUGAUAUGGUGCCUAUAGUGUAAGUUCUCUUUGAAUUCUUAACAAUUUUCACUUUUGUAAAUAGCCCUGUAAAUAUUUUAGAAGUAGUGCUGCACAGACAGGGGCCUUGUACCUGAAACACUUUAGCAAGACUUUAACCCCUUAAGGACCAAACUUCUGGAAGUUGUCAUGUCAUGUGUCCUUAAGGGGUUAAUAUAAAUAAACCCUUCAAAGCACUUCUGUGAGCUAUUCAAAAUAUGAAAAGACCUUCUAAGGUGACAUCUUGCUUGGGGCCCAGGAGUCCAGGAGUACAGUGGAAGGUAGCCUUACUAACCUGAAACUGUCCCUUAUUCAUGCACGAGUACAGUGCUGAAACAGGUCCUGGAGUGUUUUUGCAGCUCCUUGUACUUCUUCUGCAAGGUGUCUCAAUAUGUCAUCUGUGAUGUAUAUGAAGGAUCCUACAUGAUCAUGGGGGCAUCCAUAGUCUAAGUUUUGUGAUCUGUGGAAACUGCACCUUUUGUCAAGUUUUGUCAACCUGGGAUUUUAUCAAUAACAUAGUCACUGCUUUGUCUUAUAUCUUUGCAUUGCAUUGCAAUUUCAAUUAAAUUCCAAACCAGUCAAUAUGAAUAUUUCAUAAAAGAUUCUAUCUUCAUGAAAUACUCUAAAUGUUUGGUGACAUGGCAGAGCCACUUUAAUAUAAAUCAGGAAUACUUUAAUAAUAGGGCGCUUCAUACACUGUACAUUAUAUGUUUUGUAUAUUCCGUGUUACAGUGUUGUUUACAAUUGACUGUUCUUAAGGUGCUGCAUGCUUUUUGUCUAAAAAUCUGUGGAUACCAGUUUUUUUAUUUUUAUUAGAAAGGAUGUUUCUAAACAAACCAUGAAAUCCACGUUACCUACCAGGUAGAUGUUAUCACAGUUUGUAUAUUUUACUAAAUGUUUCAAAAAUACUAUAGUUGGAUCACAUGUGGA